CGGCAGCACGGGAGCAAUCCUGGUGGCGAGUGGCGAACGGGUGAGUAAUACAUCGGAACGUGUCCUGUAGUGGGGGAUAGCCCGGCGAAAGCCGGAUUAAUACCGCAUACGCUCUACGGAGGAAAGGGGGGGAUCUCAGGACCUCUCGCUACAGGGGCGGCCGAUGGCAGAUUAGCUAGUUGGUGGGGUAAAGGCCUACCAAGGCGACGAUCUGUAGCUGGUCUGAGAGGACGACCAGCCACACUGGGACUGAGACACGGCCCAGACUCCUACGGGAGGCAGCAGUGGGGAAUUUUGGACAAUGGGCGCAAGCCUGAUCCAGCAAUGCCGCGUGUGUGAAGAAGGCCUUCGGGUUGUAAAGCACUUUUGUCCGGAAAGAAAUCCUUUGAGCUAAUACCUCGGGGGGAUGACGGUACCGGAAGAAUAAGCACCGGCUAACUACGUGCCAGCAGCCGCGGUAAUACGUAGGGUGCAAGCGUUAAUCGGAAUUACUGGGCGUAAAGCGUGCGCAGGCGGUUCGCUAAGACAGAUGUGAAAUCCCCGGGCUUAACCUGGGAACUGCAUUUGUGACUGGCGGGCUAGAGUAUGGCAGAGGGGGGUAGAAUUCCACGUGUAGCAGUGAAAUGCGUAGAGAUGUGGAGGA
rnacentral:rRNA from 1 species